UGCUUGAGCCGCCAAGGCCUGAGAUGGCUGGGCCAGAGGUCGCCACAUCCUGACACGGAGAUCAGCUUUGAUGGAUGGUGCCCAGUGGAAGCGCCACUGGGUCACAGUGAGAUGGAGUCGUCAGAGUGGAGACCCGCAGGAUGCUGCCCCAGGAUGCUGCAGGAGGCAGGAGGCACAAGCUGCAGCCAGGAGCAGGAGCCCCCACUUCAGGCUUCUUCAAUUGACUUCCUCAGACAGAGUUGCUUCUCUCCGGGGACAGACGAGAUCAAAUGAACUCUAGUGUGCCCCGGCAGAGCCUUACCUUUCAGACUGUAGUCUUUCUUCCUGCCUUGGGGCCUCCCCCUCCACUGACAUCGACACUGGGACAGAAGAUGACCGUGGGAGAGAAGAUGACCCUGGGAGACAAUAAAGGGCAAGGGGCUGAGACCAGCUCUCUCUCUCUCCGCCCCAAGUCCAGCUGCAGCACUCACGAACCGCUCAGCUCUCUCAUCUUGCUCAGGGAGCGGUGUGCUUCCUCCCACUCAUGUUUAAGUGGAUGAUAAACUGCUUUUCUUCUUAGAAAAACACGAAGAGGGGGCCAGAUGCAGUGGCUCAUGCCUGUAAUCGAGCGUUUGGGUUAGCCAAGAAGGGUGGAUCACCUGAGAUCAGAAGUUUGAGAACAGCCUCGCCAGCAUAGUGAAACUCUGUCUCUACUAAAAGUAACAAAAAUUAGCCAGGCAUGGUGGCGCGUGCCUGUCAUCUCAGCUACUCUGGAGGCUGAAGCAGGAGAACUGCUUGAACCUGGGAAGCAGAGGCUGCAGUGAGUCGAGAUCACCAUUGCACUCCAUCCAGGGCGACAAGAGUGAGACUCCGUCUCAAAAAACAAACAAUAAAACCCACCACAAAUAGAGAUUUACUAUAUGAGGAAAUACAUGUAUUAUAUAUAUUUCAUAUGUAAACUAUAAUAUACAUAAUGUAUAAUAUAUAAUAUAAUUUAAGUAACAGUAGAGGUGCUCCUCUACUUGACAAACACCCAGGCUCAGGCCCACGGGCACACCUGAGCUGUCAGGUAGGAUUCUGCUUCUCAGGAGAUCAGAGGAGACUCCAGGCCCAGGUGGGAGGCCCUGGGUGGCUCAGCAUAGCCCCCAGAUCACCCCACACAGAUGAGGCUGGGCCUUCAGCCACCUGCCCCAGGAAGGGGCUUAUGAGCGCCCCCCGCACAGUGCCCUCCACUAUGUCCUGACUGGUCCUCACCACUGAGACCAGGGGUUUGGUUUUGCCCUGAUGCCUUCUGUGCUCCCCCACAGAUGGACUUAGAGCUUGGGAUGGAAAUCUUAGUCCCGACCAACCCCUGGCUGCUCUUCCUCUCCCUGGAAAGACCAUGUUCUGGUCUCCUGACACUUCCCAUUGUGGAAGUCUUUCCACUGGAUUUGGAAAAGUAGAGCUAAUAAUAGAAAGAAAGGAGAGAAUUGUGCUGUGUGGGUCCGGCCUGAGGGCUCCUUACC